rnacentral:rRNA from 1 species
UCCGCCUGGGGAGUACGACCGCAAGGUUGAAACUCAAAAGAAUUGACGGGGGCCCGCACAAGCGGUGGAGCAUGUGGUUUAAUUCGAAGCUACGCGAAGAACCUUACCAGGUCUUGACAUCUUCUGCCAACCUAAGAGAUUAGGCGUUCCCUUCGGGGACAGAAUGACAGGUGGUGCAUGGUUGUCGUCAGCUCGUGUCGUGAGAUGUUGGGUUAAGUCCCGCAACGAGCGCAACCCUUAUUACUAGUUGCCAGCAUUCAGUUGGGCACUCUAGUGAGACUGCCGGUGACAAACCGGAGGAAGGUGGGGACGACGUCAAAUCAUCAUGCCCCUUAUGACCUGGGCUACACACGUGCUACAAUGGAUGGUACAACGAGUCGCGAAACCGCGAGGUUUAGCUAAUCUCUUAAAACCAUUCUCAGUUCGGACUGUAGGCUGCAACUCGCCUACACGAAGUCGGAAUCGCUAGUAAUCGCGGAUCAGCAUGCCGCGGUGAAUACGUUCCCGGGCCUUGUACACACCGCCCGUCACACCAUGAGAGUUUGUAACACCCAAAGCCGGUG